rnacentral:rRNA from 1 species
UACAGAGGGUGCAAGCGUUGCUCGGAAUUAUUGGGCGUAAAGCGCGCGUAGGUGGUUUGUUAAGUUGGAUGUGAAAUCCCCGGGCUCAACCUGGGAACUGCAUCCAAAACUGGCAAGCUAGAGUAUGGUAGAGGGUGGUGGAAUUUCCUGUGUAGCGGUGAAAUGCGUAGAUAUAGGAAGGAACACCAGUGGCGAAGGCGACCACCUGGACUGAUACUGACACUGAGGUGCGAAAGCGUGGGGAGCAAACAGG